rnacentral:rRNA from 1 species
UACGUAGGGGGCAAGCGUUGUCCGGAUUUAUUGGGCGUAAAGAGCGUGUAGGCGGUUCGGUAGGUCCGUUGUGAAAACUCGAGGCUCAACCUCGAGACGCCGAUGGAAACCCUCGAACUAGAGUCCGGAAGAGGAGAAUGGAAUUCCUGGUGUAGCGGUGAAAUGCGCAGAUAUCAGGAAGAACACCCGUGGCUAAGGCGGUUCUCUAGUACGGUACUGACGCUGAGGAGCGAAAGCGUGGGGAGCGAACAGG